AAAUUUUCAACGAUGGAUGUCUUGGCUCCCAUAUCGAUGAAGAACGCAGCAAGAAUGCGAUAUGCAAUGUGAAUUGCAGAACCACGAAUCAUCGGAUCUUUGAACGCAACUGGCGCUGUAUAAAAAACAGCAUGCUUGUUUCAGUGUGCGC
rnacentral:rRNA from 1 species